GACUGAAACAUGUUUAUCCAGUUUCACAUAGAAGUUUUGUGAGAAGCUUUCUAGCAAAACCAGAGAGAGUUAGGACGCGAGUAAGAUGUCUAUGGAAAGAUCUUGUUGCAAGGAAUCUAUACCAGUUAACGGCUUUCUGUUUAGUGAUCAUAUCGACAUAAUAGUGCUUCAACCGCUUUGACCAUUAUUUUUAGAAUCUACUUUCAAUUUUAUGGCAUAGUGUAUGCAUGUGUUUCUUGUUGUUCAAGUUAGGGCACAAGAGUAGGAUUUGGGGGACGGGCACUACAAUUUGGUAUCAGAGCUAGUUAGCCAUCUCGGUUCUGACCUGAGAGGCGUAUUGAGACCUGUCUUGGGGCGCA